CUGGAGGAUGGGAAGUCCAAGAUCAAGCUGGCAACAGAUUCUGUGUAAGAACCCCUUCCUGGUUUGCAGACUACCAUCUUGUCUUGUGUCCUUGUGUGGCCUUUCCUUGGUAGUUUGUGUUAUGAAGACUUCAUCUUAAUGUUCAAGUGGAUGAAUGCAAAAGUCUUCAUGACCGUAAUGCCAGUGGAGCAGGACAACUGUUAGCCUAAGAAGUAGAAGACUAAAAAAUAACAACUCAUUUCAUUCUCACUGCAGUUCUGUGGGGUGGAUAGUGUUUUUAUUGACAUAGUGAGCUUGAAGAAACAGCUUGGAGGGGUUUUGUGACCUGCCUAAGUUCACACAGGUAAGAAGAGGGGGCCAGUGCCUCCCAGUAAAGCCUUUGGAGUCACUCACCUCUUAACUUUGGAUCUCGAUGUCUUCGACUUUGCAGAGAACUUGUUUGGAAAAGUAUCUCUCCGUCCUAGGGCUGGAGAGACAGCAGAAGGAGAAUUGGAUUAAGAGUCAAACAUUAAUAGCACCAUUCCCACAUCUAUGGACUUGGGCACAUUAUGCAACCUCUCUGAGUUUUGAUUUCUCUCCUGGAACAAUGCGGUUGAUGUUACUCCAAAGAGAAGUGAGAUCAAAUGCAAUAAUCUAGGCAUGUGAAAGCCUUUUGCUAACACUAGAGUCCUGGGCAAGAUACUAAAGCAGAGACUCAGCCGCCUGCUCUUCUGGAACUCCAUUAAUUAAGCAAGAAUGCCUGUGUGUUUGAGGAAGAAAGAUCUCAGAGGGUCCAUUUAGCCUGUCAAAAUCACAAGAUUGAGUAAACUUUGGCAAAUUGUCCUGAAAAUGCUUUAACAUACGCUAAGCUCUUUGCAAGAGCAUUCUCAUCCGUCUCUAGGAACCCAUCCAGGUUUAACAUGCUUUGAUUCUAUUUUUUCAGAGUUUAUUAUUAUCUGGAGGAUUCCAUGAAAGGCAAGUAACUCUGAAAGCCACACUGUAU
ensembl:lncRNA